CCUGGCUUGGCCCGCGGCGGAAUUCCAGACUUCAGCCAAUGUGAUCUCACCGGCGUUCAUAGCCCUCCCUUCUCAGGAGGGAGGGGGCCCAGGCUGGUUUCACCAGCAUCUGCCAGUCGAUUCAUCUUCACAGGAUGACAAAGGAGUCCCAGAAAAGGCCUCAGGCUCUGGGGAUGUGACUGCAGAGCAGCAGCCUCCCUCUGCCAUCUGCUGUCAAACUGUGGGAUGAACUUGGUGGUCUGAAAAGGCACGGAGCCCCGAGUGCUGCUGCAAGGCUGAGGCGUGCCCUGGGAUCUGUUACCACUGAUGCCAGCUGGGGAUAAAUGGAAGAAGAGCGGGGACAGACCGUGACUCCAACUUACUGCACAUAGGUCUGAAGGUCCUUGAGUUAAUAUCUACUAAUCAGGGAAGGGACUGGUGCAGCAGUGGAUCGGAAAAUCCCAUGAUCUUGGGGUUCUAUAAAAUCAAAGCAUCACCGAUAGAAUUUUAAGAGGUGAAUGGGAACUUGGGACUUCUAAGUCUAACCCCUACCUGAUCAGGAAUUCCUUCUAUUAUAUCUAAAUCUAUAUCUACAUUUUUUUUUCAAAACUCUUACCUGCUAUUUUAGGAUUAUUACUAAGUAUCAGUUUUAAGGCAGAAGGACAGUAGGCAGAGUCAAGGCAAUUGGGGUUAAGUGACUUGCCCAGGGUCACACAGCUAGGAAGUAUCUGAGGUCACAUUUGAACCCCAGAACUCCCAUUUCCAGGCUUGGUUCCCUAUCCACUGAGCCAUUACUUGUCUCAACCUUAGAUUCUUUCAACUGAUCCUCACAUUUAGGGGCAGCUAAAUGGCACAGUGCCUAGCUUGGAGUUGGGAAGACCCAAAUUCAAAUCUGGCUUCGUAUGAACCAGGCAAAUCAUGUAACUUCUAUUUGUCUCAGUUUCCUCAUCUGUAAAGUGAGGAUAAUAAUAGUACCUACCUCCCUGAGGACCAAAUGAGAUAAUAAUGAUACAGAACUUAGCACCAUGCCUAGCACAUAGUAAGUGCUAAAUAAAUAUUAGCUAUUAUUACCAUGUCAUGACUCUAAGGUCCCUCCCCACCCUGACCCCUCUCCUCUAGACUUGUUCCAGCUUGUCCAUGUGGUGCCAGAUGGAUUCUGACCAAAGAUAGAGUUGCAUUAUAUAGUUUAGGAUAAAAUCAAGGUUAUUUAUUACCUUUUCUUCACAGGAUUCCAUUGAAACACGAAUAACAAUCCUGUGCUAUAAAUUCUUGCAAAGACAGGUUGUUAUUACAUACUCAGCCUACAAAGCUCUGGGCCUUCUUUCCCCAGAUAAAUGUAGGGAUUAAGUAAACGAGGGAGUGUCUUCCCUGGGAGGGGCAGCUACUGUACAAGGGUGGGAAAAGACAGCUAGAGAAUCACAAUGUUAAGGAUGACUUUGGAGAUCAUUUGAUCCAUUCCCCUUAGUUUAUAUAGGAGGAAACUGAAUCCCAGAGAGAAAAGGUCUUGUGGAAGGAAACAGAGCCAGUCUAUGACAGAGUUAGGACCAAACCCUGAGUCUUCUGAUCUUUAGUUUCUACUAUCCCUGGCAAAUAAGAGAAUGGGUGUAGGGAUCAGAUUCUGCCAUUGUCUACAGAGGACUCAUAGAAGCUGUAAUGGGGCACUCAGGGACAUUCAGGCAGCUUCUGGAAGAACACCCGGACAUAAGCCCUAGUCUCCAAUGAGGCGGAUGCAAAGUGAGGGGCCAUGUUCCUGGCAUAUCUGGGGGGGGGGAUGAGGCAGAUUUGAGGAUAGGGGAAGUGAUGUGGAAUUCUGAACACAUCUUUCCACUGCAUCUCCUACAAAUCUCUUAAGGAAUUUAAAUGAUAUUGGGUGGCAGCAUAGUAUUUUCCAAAGCUAGAACUCAGAUUCAGGUUAUAGGUUUGGCUCUGCUGCUUCAUUAUUUCUAUCUUGGCCAACCAUGGUGGGCCUCAGGUUCUUCCUAAGUAGACUGAGUGUUGGAUUAGAUACCUCCAAGAAACAUCUCAGCUUUAACCUUCUCUAUUCCAUGACCCCCCCUCCAGCUCAGAAAUGUUCCAAGGUCCUACCAAGUUUGGAAAUUCUUGGCUCUGAGGUCCCUUUGAGAGCCUGUGUUCUAUUUUCUAAGGUUGCUUCCAGUUUUAAACUCUAAAAGCCCUUCUAGUCUAAAGGUUUUAUAAUUUUAAAACUGUUUGCACUAGAUGAAAUUUCCAAAAUACAUUCUUUUAAUUAGGCUUGAUUCCAAAGAGCAGGCAAACCAUUGUGGUAGUGUGUUUUCUGGGUAACUUGUUACCAAAAUACCACAUUGGGUAGUUCCCUCUAUCAGAUCAUGUAUGUUGGGGUGUGUCAUCAGUCUGUCUGUUAUCAUGUGUCUGCAUUUCUCCUCCUCCCACCUCUCUAACCUCUUGUCUUCUCUCUCUUCACGCCUACGUGUGAGUCUCUGAGGAAUAAUACAAACAGAAGGAUGCCCUGGUUCCCUACAGGGAGGAUCGAGAAAAGAACAGGUGCUUACCAAACGCUGUCACUGCCUCUCUCUAAUGGGUUUCCCUGAGAGUCAUAGUAGACAUCUACCGUUAGGCUGCGGUCUGUGUCGUGGGCCGAGUUAAAGUUGGUGAUCACCCGGGAAGGAAUCCCCAAACAUCGAAGCACUGGAAGCCAAAAACCAGGCUGAUCCCUGCCUUACUCUCUGGGCAGAAGGCCCUGGAUACGCCAACCAUGAAGUCAGAGGAAGAAUAGCCAUGAGGCGGGGCCAGAGGUAGAAUUGUUUUCUUACCAUGCCGCUCAGCACACGGCCAAUAUAUUUCGGGUCAUUUCUUCGGGCCACGUCGGUGACAGGGUCACGGCGGAAAUUGAGACUCCGGUCCAGGAUGGAGAGGCAAAUAUUCAGGAUGUCGUCCUCAAACUGUUCAGAAAGAGAAGCCUGCAGUUAAUAGUCAAUUUGUAACCUGUACGGAAGGAAGCAGAGGGCACCUAAGAGAGGGUCACAAGAUAAACUCCAGGGUCCCUUGACUCGGGGGCUUCUGGCACCCACACAGGGACAGCCAAAGGAUUCUUCCCUUGCUUCUCCCCUGAGCCGGCCUGCCCACACUGGAGGAGAAAAGUGUGCUGGGACUUCAGAGGAGUCACUUGAUCUCUUGAGCACUAAGCUGCCUUGCUUCUGCAUCCUAAGGACCAUGGGACUUCCCGUUCAGCUGCCUGGCAGCUGAAACCUUUCCUCCGUGGUGUGGAGCUCCUUGAGAGCAGGGACUCUCUGACUUCAAUAUCUGUAUCCCUGGUGCUAGACAGGAUGAAUAUCUGGUGCACAUAUAUGAUAUUAAAUGGGAUAGUCUGUGAAGAAGAUGAAUUGCACACAAUUGUCAGUGCAUUAAAGAAGUCUCGCCACCUUAGACUAUUCUGAGAAGCCUGAGAACACAUCUUGGGGAUAUUCUGGACAAAUGUUUCAGGAUUUUAGAACAAUUUGGUUUUUCUGUAUGUCUGGGCUAUCAUCCCCUACUGCCUCCCGUGGAGAGAUGAAAUCACACACACACACACAUGCACACACAUGCACACCUCAAUCUAUUUAUCUCAGCCUGGCUCGGAGACAGCAUGGCUUAAGGGACAGGCCCCUGGCUUCUGGCUUGAGAAUGAGAACUGGAAUUCUAAUUUUAUGCAAGUCACUUUGCUACUCUGCAGAACAAGCUAACGUGCUAUGUCCAGAAGUUUGGCUAUGUGCACCCUAUAAUUGUCAUUUGGGUAAUAUUUGCUGUCCCCAGCCCUAAAAUGGAAAUCAAAUGAUAGGUGGGACACAAAAAUGUUUCGGCUGUGCAAUCCAAACACCUAUGCCAUGGGCAGCAAUUGGAUGCUGAUACUUCUUCUUGACAAAGGGCAACCUUUAGGAAAGGAUGCAGAGACUUAUCUCAUCUGCAUGCAAUUGUCGCUUUGUUUGUAGGGUUGUUUUGGAGGUUAUGUUUCUGUGUGUUGAGGUGGAAAUCACAGACAUUUUGUAAUGACACAAACCAGAGAAAUUCAUGUUCUCUGGUAUUACAAAAUUACAGAGAUGGAAGGGCCAUCAGAGCUCCUGUAGUCAGUCCAACUUGAACCUAAGCAGGGAUCCUUCUACAACAUUCCAAAUAAGUAGCUAUCUAGCCUUUAUUUGAAGACCCCCAACGAGGAGGAAGGAACCUGUUUACUAUUAAGGUGACCCUUUCUAUUUUUAGAUUGUCCUAAUUUUUGAGAAAAAAUGUUCUUACAUUAAGAGUUCUAAUAUUCUA